rnacentral:rRNA from 1 species
AACGAACGCUGGCGGCAUGCCUAACACAUGCAAGUCGAACGAGACCUUCGGGUCUAGUGGCGCACGGGUGCGUAACGCGUGGGAACCUGCCCUUAGGUUCGGAAUAACUCAGAGAAAUUUGAGCUAAUACCGGAUAAUGUCUUCGGACCAAAGAUUUAUCGCCUUUGGAUGGGCCCGCGUAGGAUUAGCUUGUUGGUGGGGUAAUGGCCUACCGAGGCGACGAUCCUUAGCUGGUCUGAGAGGAUGAUCAGCCACACUGGGACUGAGACACGGCCCAGACUCCUACGGGAGGCAGCAGUGGGGAAUAUUGGACAAUGGGCGAAAGCCUGAUCCAGCAAUGCCGCGUGAGUGAUGAAGGCCUUAGGGUUGUAAAGCUCUUUUACCAGGGAUGAUAAUGACAGUACCUGGAGAAUAAGCUCCGGCUAACUCCGUG